AUCAACAAUUGUGACUCGAGUGUGGAUCACAUUUCUCGAUCCUUUCUUUUUUCGACAGUGGGUCUUUGAUCUUGUUGAGCUUCCUCAAGCCGCGAUGACGCGCGUCGUUUUUCUAUUGACUGUGCUAUUGGCUUCAUGCUUUGUAAGCCAGGCUUAUCCACCGCGCCCAGAAAGGUUACCCGGCGACC